rnacentral:rRNA from 1 species
CCAAUAGCGUAUAUUAGUGUUGUUGCGGUUAAAAAGCUCGUAGUUGAAUUUCGGGAUUGGGAUAUAUCGGUCGUGCCUUUAGGGGCAUGAAUCGGUGUGUGGCCAAUUCUCACUUUCUGGUGAAUUGGGAUGCUCUCGGGUGUUUCAAUGAACUAGGACUUUUACUUUGAAAAAAUUAGAGUGUUUAAAGCGGGCAUUUUUGCUUGAAUACGUUAGCAUGGAAUAAUAAAAUAGGACGAUGGUUCUAUUUUGUUGGUUUUAGGACCACGUAAUGAUUAAUAGGGAUAGUUGGGGGCAUUAGUAUUCAAUUGUCAGAGGUGAAAUUCUUGGAUUUAUUGAGGACUAACUACUGCGAAAGCAUUUGCCAAGGAUGUUUUCAUUAAUCAAGAACGAAAGUUAGGGGAUCAAAGACGAUUUAUGUACGUCGUAGUCUUAACCAUAAACUAUGCCGACUAGGAAUCAGACAAAGUUAAUUUUUUAACGACUUGUUUGGUACCUUACG